GGCCCCGGCUCGAACCGGCACCGUAUGGUGCGUUUUCCGAAAGGAUAGAGUCGGGGCAUUCU
rnacentral:ncRNA from 1 species